rnacentral:rRNA from 1 species
UACGAAGGGGGCUAGCGUUGUUCGGAAUUACUGGGCGUAAAGCGCACGUAGGCGGAUAUUUAAGUCAGGGGGUGAAAUCCCAGAGCUCAACUCUGGAACUGCCUUUGAUACUGGGUAUCUCGAGUAUGGAAGAGGUGAGUGGAAUUCCGAGUGUAGAGGUGAAAUUCGUAGAUAUUCGGAAGAACACCAGUGGCGAAGGCGACUCGCUGGACAAGUAUUGACGCUGAGGUGCGAAAGCGUGGGGAGCAAACAGG